AUCAACAGGAAAGAUGCACACUGUCAAAAUGUCGUCUGCUAAUAAAACUGGAAAUGCUUUCUCUGCAAACGCCGAUGGAUCGCAUUGCCCUGGAUUGUUCAACUCACAGUAAUGAAUUUAUCAAAUUCAAGGACUAAACAGUUUCACUAUUCAUCAAUUUUGAACUUCAUCGCUGGAAAUUAUUAUAAUGAACACUCAAGAUGAUGACAAGCCGUGGUACGAAAGAUGCGCCAGCCUGACUGAAGAGAGCCUCGUCAUGACUUCAAAUACGUCAUCUUCUCAGCGUCUCAAGCUAAUUCAGUUCAACUUUGUGAUUCAUUCAAUACUAAGAUAUUAAGGUACGUCUCACGUAGUGCGUUUUACUUAAUUGUUAAAAGAUCUGCUUACAUGGACUCUUAUAAAACCACUCAUCAGACAUCAGUCUUUAUCUCUUUACAACUUGAUAAACAAAGUUGAUAUUUAAUUCAAAAGCUAUGAAUUUAAUUCAAAGCAAAGGUGUACUGCGUAAACAGAUCUAUACCUUGUUCAGCCCCAUGUGGCUGUUUAUGUUAUAAAAACAUUGCUUAAUACUGUCCUGUAUAUUUCAUAACUCCUUUGAUUCAUCAGGCCUGAUACUUUGCGGAGACAAAUUACGCUGCAAUUGCCUCCAUGCACUCGGUCUUUGUCAUUGCUUAGGUGCCCAAAAUGGUCCGGUUCUAAUUCAAAUUCAAUUCCCUCAUACUCAUGCAUUUUACUGAGAAAAGGCUGCCUUGCCCUUACAAGAAUGAAGCAUCAGGCCUGAAGAAUGGUAAUUGAAAUGCAGAAAACAAAGGGCUACUAGCUACGACUUAACACUUUUUACUGAAUACAAAGCAAUGAAGUGAACAAUCAUGCAAUCUCAUUGUACGUAUGUAACGUUAACAUAACUUUUACAUAGUUCAGACAAAGUUAAAACAUGCUUUAAAUGCUUAGUUUGGUUUUUAUUUUGUGGUAAAUGAUGAAUUUGUAUUACACGUGAUGAUAUUUAACUGUAAAACAUUGUACAAAUUGAGCAGGGCAUUUAAUUUUAAACAGAAUGCAAAUGUAUGGAAACUUAGAGUGAACAUCUGCAUGUCCAUAAAGUUUUUGGCUUAGUACUUAAAGUACUGUAUUGUAUCUUUCCACCAUUUUAUCUUCAAAAGUACAUUCUGCUUAUACAUGAGAACCCCAAAAUACUGAGUAAUCUAUUUUUUUUUUAUAUCUUUGAUGUGUUUAACUUGGAAAUUUGGUAAUGCAGAUGGUCGUUCUAAGCUUCCAUACAAUUUAUAGCAACAGUUUUGAAGUCUGGCUCCUUGUCUCUUAGUGCUUUUACACACUAUUCGUAAUGUUGGUACCAGACUAAUUUCUUCACACACUUGUUUAAGAUAGCUUAUAUUGUGUAUAAAAAGACCCUUUUUAAACAAGCUAAUUAAAUAAGACAGCUCCGAAAUUCACAGUAAAGCGAAGCGUACUAUCUGUUACAUUAAAAAAAGUUAAGUUUGAAGGUUAGAAGUCAUGAACGUGUGUUCUGUGCAAUUAAAUUGAUGUAAAUAAGAGUUCCUACCACGCUAAGCAGCUAAUUAAGUGCCGUUUUAGGGUUAUCUAAGCAAUUAUUUAUUAAAAAAGACACUUUCUUGUGAAUAUUUUUGUCACCAGAAUACGUAGUCCAUGUAGAAUGUCGAUAAGACACUCUGGAGUGUAUUCCGCACUGUUUUAAGAGUGUUUUGAAGGUUUUUGACACUCAAGUUUUGUAAUUUUCAGUGAUUUUUAGAGUUUUUAGAGCAA